rnacentral:pre_miRNA from 1 species
UGUAAACAUCCCCGACUGGAAGCUGGAAAACGUAGCUUUCAGUCCGAUGUUUGCU